GUUGUGGCUCAGUGGUAGAGCACUGGCCUCAAACUCUUGCGGCCCUGGAUUCGAUCCUCAGCACAACA
rnacentral:tRNA from 1 species